rnacentral:rRNA from 1 species
AAACUCAAAUGAAUUGACGGGGACCCGCACAAGUAGCGGAGCAUGUGGUUUAAUUCGAAGCAACGCGAAGAACCUUACCUAAGCUUGACAUCCUUUUGACCGAUGCCUAAUCGCAUCUUUCCCUUCGGGGACAGAAGUGACAGGUGGUGCAUGGUUGUCGUCAGCUCGUGUCGUGAGAUGUUGGGUUAAGUCCCGCAACGAGCGCAACCCUUGCCUUUAGUUGCCAGCAUUAAGUUGGGCACUCUAGAGGGACUGCCAGGGAUAACCUGGAGGAAGGUGGGGAUGACGUCAAAUCAUCAUGCCCCUUAUGCUUAGGGCUACACACGUGCUACAAUGGGUGGUACAGAGGGCAGCCAAGUCGUGAGGCGGAGCUAAUCCCUUAAAGCCAUUCUCAGUUCGGAUUGUAGGCUGAAACUCGCCUACAUGAAGCUGGAGUUACUAGUAAUCGCAGAUCAGAAUGCUGCGGUGAAUGCGUUCCCGGGUCUUGUACACACCGCCCGUCACACCAUGGGAGUUGGGGGCGCCCGAAGCCGGUUAGCUAACCUUUUGGAAGCGGUCCGUCGAAGGUGAAACCAAUAACUGGGGUGAAGUCGUAACAAGGUAGCCGUAUCGGAAGGUGCGGCUGGAUCACCUCCUUUCUG